rnacentral:rRNA from 1 species
GCGACCCCAGGUGGGCGGGAU